rnacentral:rRNA from 1 species
ACUGCUUUAUACUGUGAAACUGCGAAUGGCUCAUUAAAUCAGUUAUAGUUUAUUUGAUGGUACCUUACUACUCGGAUAACCGUAGUAAUUCUAGAGCUAAUACGUGCGCAAAUCCCGACUUCCGGAAGGGACGUAUUUAUUAGAUAAAAGGCCGACCGGGCUUGCCCGACUCGCGGUGAAUCAUGAUAACUUCACGAAUCG